GCUGGGCAUGGUGGCACAUGCCUGUAAUCCCAGCAGUUUGGGAGGCAGAGGCAGGAAGAUCGCGAGGUCAAAGCCAGCCUCAGCAAAAGCAAGGCUUUAAGCAAUUCAGUGAGACCCUGUCUCUA
rnacentral:sRNA from 1 species